rnacentral:ncRNA from 1 species
UCGAUCGCAAUGAGAAAGAAGAGUAGCUCGGCAAACAGCUCCAGCGAGUCCCGUUUUGGUGUGAGGGGAUAGUCAACUUUGCCCGGUGAAAAUCACUUUCGAGUCCGGUUCUUAAAUCCAGUAAGUUCCGGUGGUUACACCCAUUAUCGUGUCAGCGUAUCGCCAGUUUGGCCGUACGUGGAAGGUACCGUUAGCAAUGGCGGUACGAAGAUAGGGUGGUACCACGCUAAGGCGUCCCUUAA